AUGGGCCGGAACACCGUCCCGGAAGUGAAACCCCCCACCCCCUCCCCCGGAGCGGGCGACGAGGGCGGGAGCCCUGCGUCACGUAGGCUGUCGUGUCCCCGCCCACAGCGGCGAAGUGGGGCGGGGCCAGAGGCGGGUCAAGGGGCGGGAUUAGAGGACGGGAGGGAGGUGCUUCUGGAGGAGGAGGAGGAGACAGAGGGAGGAGAGGUGCCGGAGUCGAAGCGGACGUUGGCGGAGAGCGUGCGUCAUGACGUCAUUGAAAAGCGCCUUAUAUACAAGCGUCUGGCCGCCAUCUCGGUCUUUCCAGGCUACGAGUCGGUCUUUGGAAUGAUGCUAGGCAUGAAUGCAGUUUGGCUUUUGAUGGCUUCUGAUGAACAGUUACGUGCCAAAUGGAUGAGACCUGCUACUGGGGUCCCACAGCAGAGGCUUUACGCUGUAUUUAUGGGCAAACAGGCGCUAAGCAGAAUUAGCUGGAAGUUGAAGGGGUGGACUUGAGUUUUUGACAUGUCUGGAACUUUUUUGCUACCGGGUAUAUGAUUUUAUCUGGAUGGCUUGCUUGGGGUGCGGAUUUCGGGGAGCUUUUGUAUAAAGGUGUGAAGAGAUGGGUUGCUACAAGACAUGGAAGAAGGAGUUUUAAGCAGAGGUACAGUAGUCUCAAGUUUGUUUGGUGUGUUACGUGGUUUAAAGCCGAUACAAUGAUGAUAACAUAGUUCAGCAGAGUAACAGUGAUGAGCAAAUACUGUCUUUCGCUCCUAUCUGACGUAUCUGGCUGCAACUAUAUUCUGUUCAUACCCUUGAAAACGGAAACUGUCUCAUAGGAAUGUUCAGGGAUUUGGAUUAAGUAUGGUGGCUCUUAGGGAAAUGUUCUGUAAAUUUCAUGGUUAGGAUAUAUGGUCAUUUGGAUAAGCAUAGGUUAACACAUUUUGGGGAAGUAAAUUUUUAUUACAUAUUAAUCUACGUAUUCAUACAUAUUAAUUUAUAGAUUAUUCCACAAUUUGUUAUUUAGCUGAUUUUAAAUCGAUAGUCAUUUUCCAGAGUGGUUUUAGAUUCACAGCAAAAUUGCCUGUAUACCAGGACCGUCUUCACACACCUCACCAUCUAGAACUGGAGUGGGACUUAAAAUUAGGAACCUACAUUGAUACAACUUUACCCUAAGUCAGUUCAUUGGGGUUUGCUCAUGGUGUUACAUGCUUCUCUGGGUUUGAACGAAUGUACGAUGACAAAGGUCCACCAUUGUACAGAACAGGUUCACUGCCCUAAAUUUUUUGAAAAAGUUAACAUGGGUUAUUAAAAAUGGGAAAGUGAAGUAGGGUAAAUUUUCAAGGCUUUUUUUCUUUUUCCAUUUUUAAACAGGCAGACCUGUUACCCUAAGAUUUAAGGGUAAGUUAGUCUUUGGUCUAUAUGAUAAGUUAGAAUGUAACCAAUGAUGCGAUGAUUCUGCCAAAUGAAUACAAUGAUAUCACCCAUAAAACCGUUCCAUUUUGAUUUCUGAGGUUACUUUACUAACAAGUAUCACACAAGUUUUUUAAUGCUGUGAUCUAACAUAGUCUUUCUUUUUCAGGGCAUUUCACAGCAGCAGUCAAAUGCAACUUACCAGUUGAGAGAGGCAGCUGAAUGGAUGCUCCUGGGAUAGAAGAGAAAACAGCUUUGAAUUCUAAUAAAUAUUUAUAAACCAUC